rnacentral:lncRNA from 1 species
GGGCGCUUGUCUGUCCUCAGCCUGGGUACCUCAGCGUCCUGCCACCCCGAGGCAGGGCCGCGCUAGGGCCCGCCUGUGCGGAACUUGGCGCAGGACGUGUGUGUCGCCCGGACGCAGGGCUGCGGGGAAGCCUCCGCUUUUGCACACGCCCUGCUUGGAUGCCUAGUCCAUUCCGAGGCGCAGUCUCCUCCCUGGACCUCGGAGCCAGCAAAUGGGAACCAGACACAGUUCAGGGUGGUGGCAGGCCAGGGUCUCCUCCUCCACACUAGCCACACCUCGCCUCAACUCGCCCGGUUUGGCUCUGCCCUGGCCCUUCACCUCCGCCUCACUCCGCCCUUGCCCUUCACCUCCGCUCUGCUCCUCACUUCUGGGUCGCGCAGAGUCCAUCUCAUAUGGAGAUGGAGGACCUGGGAUUCUGAGUAGCCUGGAGCAGAGGAGCUGGAACGAGACCUUGGUAGAAAGACUUAGAAGGACGUAAGUCACUGGAUGACCAGAAGAGCUAGCAAUCUGCAGAUGCUCCUCCAAGAAAUCCCCAGAAUGAAAACUGCUGACCUUACAUUUGAAGUCAAAGAUGUGAAACGGCUUCAGGUUUUGUCUGGAAAAUUAUACCCCUUUCUAGGAGCUCGCAGCAAUUGUGCCCUGUAUGAAGCUUCGUUGUUGUUCGCUUUUUUCCCUUUGGUACCAGUGGUUGAACUCGGGAUUAACCACUGAGCACGUACCCAGACAUUUUUUGAUUUUAUUUAGAGACAGGGCCUCGCUAAGUUGCUGAGGGCAGCUGUGACCUCGCAGUCCCGAGCCGCCGCCAUCACAGGCGGGCGCCACCGUAUAAAUUCCCAGCAGACUUUCUUCUCCACCGUUCCUUGUGUUUGCUGUUCGGAGUGGUCUUCCCCGCUCGCCUUCUCAGUGGUAAGGACCGGGCCUCAGUCCUGGCGGUGGGGAUGGCUGCUGACUCCGCGUAGCAGGGUAACUCCUGAAGGCUGGAUAUGGAGAAGGCAGAGGGGCAGGGCGCCAGAGUCUCUACAGCAUCCACACCCACGGAGGGACCUCACCAUUUGGAUGGCUUCAUUCCAGGGUCUCUAGGACACUGACGUGGGAACCAGCUAUUUGUUCCUCUCAUGCUGGGGACAGAAGCCAUGUCCCUGGCUUGGGAUGGAUGGGGAUUUCUUAAACAGUGGGAACAGCAGUCCCUCUAUCUGAAACAAAACUUGCACGACCUGAUGGAACUGGACUGAGAUGGCAGCUGGUACCCCAGGACUGCUCAAGUGGAUGCUUCAAGUGACGCCCACACUAGGCCCUGAUCAGUCCUUGUCCAAGAAAGCUGUGAAUGUUUCUGGAGAGACCUAUCAUCAUUCAAAAGGAUCUGGCUAUGGUCCCUGCCAGCGCAGAGGGCACUUGUUUUAGUGGCACCUGAGCUUGCUUUUCCCCUGAAAAGAGGAGUGGGGACUUGUUCUGGAUUCCACCCACCCACCUCUUUGUGGGGAGUAUCUUACAUCAUCAUCUUCAAACCGAAGACUUCCCGGAGCCAUCCUUCAACUGUGUAAGAACUAAAAACAACAUGGAAGCUGUUAGGCCAGAAAGUCUGGUACCUGGGAACUCCCAGCAGAACUCCUGCUGGUUUGAGACUGCCCAGUACAUGUGGCUUCCUAUCUAGCUCCGAGUUCAGCACUGCACUGGAGAUGGGUGACAAGCUGGAGCCACACAGCCUCCUGGAGAUGGGUGUAGCUUGCCAAGAUGCCAAUCAACCUGUUUGCUGCAAGUCCCGUCUUUGAUGUGCUCCCUUAAAUAAAAGACCAGAGCCAUUUUUCAGUUGUUUAGUUC